rnacentral:lncRNA from 1 species
UCUGCUCUUAGGACAUUCUUAUCAUCCUCAGUUUUCAUUGUUUAACGUGGUAGGACCGCUGGGACCCAUCUAAUUCUUUUCGUCAAGAAUGAAAAAACUUACGUGCAUACCCAGAAAAAAGGUGGGACCCAAUCUAACGAAAAUGUCCCUAACCCCAAUCUCGAGUCCAUAGCUUCUUGGGGGUUGGGUUGGACCAAAUAUCAAACACUUGUUCUGCACAAAUUCACUGCCCCAAAUUAUAUGACCUGAUGAAGGGGUUUUGGCAAAACUUAACACGCAAAUUGUACUUUACCUUUUUGAAAAAUUGCUAAUUUUGGUUGAGAGAAUGAUGGGAACCGUAACUGGGGAGACCCCCUUAAGCCAUAAGGCCAUAUCCCAUUUUUGUUGUCCUAUCAAAAUGACAGCAGAAUCUUCAUCAGCAACCAUGCAACUUGGAUAAUAAUAAAGGAGGCUGCUACAUGGGAGAUGCAGCAUCUUCUUUCUUUCUUUCUUUUUUCUUUUUUAAUUAUUUUUUUUCUCUCUGGUUUCUUAUGGAUGAGAUGAGCAUGCCACGUUGUGAACACAUAGGGCUGCACUGAUUAUUAUAAGCUAAUGCAUAUCCAAAUUUCUAGCUUCAUUGUGGGGUCUGGUUCUAUUUACUUGGGGUUUGAUCAAACUUUGUGGGACGUCUCUUACACCAACUGUUCAUUUAUGAAUCAUGAGAAUGUAUGGUAUGGUGUUGCCCUCAAGCAAAAGGGUUGUUGGACACGCAAAGUCAAUCCAAGUAGCCAGCCCAUUAUAUGAGAAAUACUGAGAUUUAUAUCAUUAUUUUACAAUAAUUAAGAAAAAUAGUUUCCAGGAAUCUUUCUCAGAGAAAAAGAAACCACUGGUAUGCCUUCAAAUUCAAGAAUCCAAAACUAACUGAUUGAGAUUUUAUGGAAGUACAUUAGUUGUGAUGAUGGAUUAAGAAAGAUUAUCUUUUAAGAAUAUAAUGACAUGAUCAUUUUGAAUUGACUGCUAAUAUUAUUGAAUCAGAUUAGGUCUGCUAAGUGAAGUUUUAACAAACUUUUCAUUUUUAAUAAUCAUGAAUCAUGUCUUCUUCUUAAUUUUUAAUUGUGGGUAUUGGGCUGUUGGCUAAAUUAAACAUCCUAGAAGUUGCUAUUCUUGAAUCUUUGAUUAGUUAUGGAGCUUUGCUUCACAUUGAAACUAUUGCAAUUAGAUUUGUUCAACUACCCACCGGCCUUUUUAUUUCUCCCAAGAAAGUCCACAGCAAGAAACCCCAGGCUGCCUUAGUCAUUGACAAAAUUUAGCUGCAAUUUUCCACCGGCUACUUCUCAACUACAAUUGUACUAUUUUCUUUGUUAGGGAAGUCUAAUAGAACUUUCAUCAAACAUAAUUUGUGCAUAUUUUGGUUGGGUUGGGGCCAGAGCUUUCCUCAUCUC